GAUGAAGAACGUAGCGAAAUGCGAUAAGUAAUGUGAAUUGCAGAAUUCAGUGAAUCAUCGAAUCUUUGAACGCACCUUGCACCCUUUGGCAUUCCGAAGGGUAUGCUCGUUUGAGUGUCAUUGUACUCUCACACUUCCAAUUCUUUGGAUUGGGAGCGGUGGACUUGGGUGUUGCUGCUUUAGUUGUGGCUCACCUCAAAUAAGUUAGUGCAACUCUUGGUUGGACAUAGUACGGCGUGAUAAGUGUCUUCGCCGGCGCCUCUGUAAGGAGGGUGGCCGAUCGGGAGCUCUGUGCUUCAAACCGUCUUCGGACAAUCUUUGACAACUUGACCUCAAAUCGAGUAGGACUACCCGCUGAACUUAAGCAUAUCAAUAAGCGGAGGA
rnacentral:misc_RNA from 1 species